rnacentral:lncRNA from 1 species
CUUAAUCCAUCAUCCCGCGCUCCACAGCGCUCUGGUACUCCCUCUGAGUAAUGUGCACAACCAAAUCUUGGCUUAUGGUGUGCCGAGUCUGUCCCUGCUCUGUCGGGUAGUGAUUUACCCCAUCAAUCAGUCUCUCCAUGGUCGUGCGCACUGCAUAGCCCAUCCUGUUCAUCUUCCUCCUUUUGCACCUCAAUUCAUAUUCUAGAUCGUUAGCCCUAUC